UAUCGUGACACCCCUGGAACCAUCACAAUCCACAAUACAUGCCCUUCUCCCUACUCC
rnacentral:tRNA from 1 species